AUUUAAAGCUAUACCAGCUUGGCUUGAGACCUGGGCAGAUUCACAAGAUAAGCAGGAUUGGGCCUGGUCAGUAUUAGGGUGGGAGACUCAAAGGAGAACCUAUGGACUUAUUC
rnacentral:rRNA from 1 species